AUGGCGUGGGGCAACGCGGUGCCCGUGCCGCGGUUCGCGCGGGAGCACCUCGCCGAGGAGCUGCGGCGAGGGAAUGCCACGGUGGACGUGACCCUGUUGGGACCGGCGGCGGCGAGGCACCUGCAGAAGGUGGUCGAGUGCACGGCCGUCUUGGGCCACGGCGAGACCUCGCCGACGUGCAAGGUCACGUCCCAGUAUCCGAUCUCACCCGAGCCCGAGUACCCGCUUGGGCCACGGCCGGCGAGGAAGCUUCUUGAGUCAUGGAGCGACUAUAGAUCACUACUCCUAGUUAGCUAG
rnacentral:rRNA from 1 species